GCUCCUGCGCUUUCAGAGGAGAGGUCCCGGGUGUUGAGGGGACUGACACGGCCCCCGAAGAAUAAAGGGCCUGGUCACCCCAUCGAAAUGAAUUUUCUGAAGCGGUUUCCUGCCUCUGAAUUAAAGUGUAACCAGUCGUUUAGCCCGGGCAAGGAAGGAAGUGAAAAGUCUGGGAAUGGAAUGACAUUUUUCCCCUGGAAUGACAUUCUUCAGGAGCAUCCAUGUUGCUGCAAAUGGCGUUAUGUUGUCGGUUUUUAUGGGUUGCUUCCUUUGAGCAGGAGCCGAGUCUUUAGCCACACUGAUUGCAAUCUCCCUGGAGCAUGUCUUCAAGCAGGCUUCCUUUCUGUUGAGUAGUUUUGAGAGCAGGACUAGGCACGUCUUUCUCUGGGGGCAAACUCAUAAAGAGGCUUCCUCCAGGGCAGGAGGCUAAUAAGUAUUUGUGAACAAGUCAAUUCUCCUAGCAAGCAAAAAGGACCUGAGUCGAAGCCAUUCUCCCUACCUUGCUCUAGAGAGCAUGGUUAGAAGUAACUGCCAACAGAACAAAUCCUACGCUGAGAAAAAUCAUGUUGUUAAUUCUCCUCUGAAGAUUAAAAAUGACAAUGAGCCAUUACAGAUGAUUUAAAAUGGAGCACUUCAUGGCCUUUUCUCCCUUCUCAAUCUAAUUGCUUUCUCUUCUAAUAAUAUGUUUUGAUUUUACUUUAAAAAAAUAAAGCCUUCUCUAC